ensembl:lncRNA
GCACCGCCCCACACCUCCAGCGUGCCCCUAGGCUUAGCAGCCAACAAGCACUGAGCGCCCCCUGGAUGGCGCGGUCCACAGGUCUCCUUGACUCACCCUCCAGCCCCGGAGGGCCGGGCUCAACCUCGGCGGACCGGGCGCCGCCCGCACGGCCCCGGCUGCACCACCGCCCCGGACUGUGCCGGCGCACGAGGCCGCCCUCCUCGGUGCCCCCGGGUGGGGCAGGUCGAGCCCGGUGCGCUAUCCCUUUAAGCCCGGGCGAGAUGGGAGCUGUCAGCGACAGCCGAGGCUAGCGCGGGACGUCGCCGCCCGCCAGGCCGGAGCGCGGAGCCGCGGAGAGGGCGGAGAGCCGAGGGGGCGGUGGGGCCCGGGCGCGGCGGGUCCCCUCGCCGCCCACUGUGCGCCGGAACCCUGGGCCCGGCGAGUGGCGGGCGGCACCCCAGUGUAAUGCAGAGAAUGUGAGGGCAGCGCAGGCCGGUGGAGAGGAGGCGGCGGCGCGGGAGAGGGCGUCGGCAAGAUAGACGGAGAGGCAGCCGGAGAGACGGAGGACCGGGAUCCGGGCGGGUGCAGGUGGGAGAAGGGAAACGAGAUAGGAGAGGCAGCGACAGAAAAGAGGGAAAAAGAGGGAAAGAAAGGAGCGGGAGAGCACGCGGCUGCGGGCGGCGGCGCAGGCGAGGAGCAGGGAGCCCGCGCCUCUGGGUGGGAGCACCAGAAGCCGGAGUCAGGCGCCGGGGCCGGAGAUCAGGCGGAGAGCACGGCCGCAGCCGGGCCGGCAGGGUGAAGCAGCAGGGACGCCCGAGGGGGCCCCUCUGGGAACACCGGCGGGUCUAAGGCGGGGCCAGCCCGGUAGGCCCGCAGGGUCACUCCGCAGGCUCCGCGGGCCGCGCUCCGGGGGCUCCCGGCGGGCCGGGGCCUUUGUGAACGCCCCAGGAGGGCAAGAGUCGGGAGUGCGGAGCCGGUUGUGCGGCGGCGGGGGUGUGUGCGCGCCCAGGUGUGCGCGUGUGUGCACGAGUGUGAGCGCCCAAGCAGUUGGGAGCGCGCGUUAGGGAUUCUGCUGGCAUCGCAGUGUGGAGAACUGGAGGCAGGAGCGGGGCGCGCAGGGGAGCGCGGGGCCCUCCCGUGCACACGCACACGCACCGCGCGCGCGCACACACACACACACAUACACAUACACACAUACAUACACUCGCGCACACGCCCUCCCUGCCUCGCUCGUUGCCGCGGCCACCAUCUCAGAGUCGAGCCCUGCGUAGCGGGAACCCGAGCCGGAGCGGGAACCAGAGAGGAGCCCAGCGGGGGAAUGCGGCCCCGGAGCGGAGCUGCGCGCCGACUGCGCGCCCGGGACGCCUCCUGCCCUCACAGGCCCUGAGGCCCCCGAGCCCACAGGCAAAGAGAGAGAUCGCCAGGCCCCCUCCCAGUUACACUCCCUACAAGCCCACCUGACCUGAGGUAAGACGCUGCUCUGGGCCUGGGAGGUGCGGGUGGGCCAUGUGGGGUGGAUGUGGUGUCCCUGAGGGAGAGG